rnacentral:rRNA from 1 species
UACGUAGGGUGCGAGCGUUAAUCGGAAUUACUGGGCGUAAAGUGUGCGCAGGUGGCCGCGCAAGUCGAGUGUGAAAUCCCCGAGCUUAACUUGGGAAUUGCGCUCGAAACUACGUGGCUCGAGUGUGGCAGAGGAAGGUGGAAUUCCACGUGUAGCGGUGAAAUGCGUAGAGAUGUGGAGGAACACCGAUGGCGAAGGCAGCCUUCUGGGCCGUACCUGACGCUGAGACGCGAAAGCGCGGGGAGCGAACGGG